UUUAAAGUCUAAUCUGCCCUAUGAGGAUUUAAAUGGCCGCGGUACUUUGACCGUGCAAAGGUAGCAUAAUAAUUAGUUUUUUAAUUGAAAGCUGGAAUGAAUGAUUGGACGAGAAAAUAACUGUCUCAAUUUAAUUUUUUUUUAGAAUUUUAUUUUUAAGUAAGAAAGCUUAAAUUUAAUUAAAAGACGAGAAGACCCUAUAGAGUUUUAUAUUUAAAUUUAUUAUUAGUUUUUUAGAAUUAUUUUAUUAAUAUAAAAUUAAAUAUUUUAUUGGGGCGAUAGAAAAAUAUUAUUAACUUUUUUUAUUAUUAAUUCAUUAAUUUAUGAAUCAAUGAUCCAUUUUUUAUGAUUAAAAGAAUAAGUUACCUUAGGGAUAACAGCGUUAUUUUUUUUUAGAGUUCUUAUCGAAAAAAAAGAUUGCGACCUCGAUGUUGGAUUAAAAUAUAUGUUUGGUGUAGAGGCUAAAUAAUUAGGUCUGUUCGACCUUUAAAAUUUUACA
rnacentral:rRNA from 1 species